rnacentral:lncRNA from 1 species
UUUCAAAGUAAAGCUUUGUAAAGCUUUGAGAGAUCUGAGACAAUAAGAAAAUUAAAAAUAUAGCAAAAUCUCUCUACUAAUAUUUUCAAUGGAGUUAGGGAUUUUUUGGUAGAGUGUAUAAGACUAAUGCAAAAUAUGGUGUAUUAGUAAUGCUUGUGUUUGUUAUGCUUGCAUUAGUUAUCUUUGUAUUUUUUUUUAUGCAGUGUUUGGUUCAAUGUAUUAAAAAAAACAUGAAUUACAUAAUUUCUUAAAAAAAAUAAAAAUUCUUUAUAUAAUACCCUCAAUAUAUAUGUUGGAAAUGAUGCAAAUUUUUUUUUGAGGGG